GAUUAGUCAAUUGAGUAAUCGAGAGACUAAUUAGUGGCGUAAGGGUGAGUAAUGGAUAGGUAACGUACCCUGUGCUCCGGAAUAGCGUCAGUUCGCCUUCGGGCGGACAUCCGAAAGGGGCGGUAAUACCGGAUAAUAUCAUUCGUCGAUAGACGGAUGAUCAAAGAUUUAUCGACAUAGGAGCGGCCUUUUUCUUAUCAGCUUGUUGGUGAGGUAAUGGCUCACCAAGGCUAUGACGGGUAGCGGGACUGAGAGGUUGGCCCGCCACAUCGGGACUGAGACACUGCCCGGACCUCCACGGAGGGCUGCAGUAACGAAUCUUGCGCAAUGGGCGAAAGCCUGACGCAGCGACGCCGCGUGUAGGAGGAAGUCCUUCGGGAUGUAAACUACUGUCAGGGGGAAGAAAGUUCGCUUCGGCGGAUUGAUCUAACCCACAGGAAGUCACGGCUAACUUCGUGCCAGCAGCCGCGGUAAGACGAAGGUGACAAGCGUUGUUCGGUAUUACUGGGCUUAAAGCGUGUGUAGGCGGAACGGUAAGCGUCUUGUGAAAGCCCCCGGCUUAACCGGGGAAUUGCUUGACGAACUGCUGUUCUUGAGGCAAGUAGGGGUGCACGGAACUCUUGGUGGAGCGGUGAAAUGCGUAGAUAUCAAGAGGAACGCCGGUGGAGAAAUCGGUGCACUGGGCUUGUCCUGACGCUGAGACACGAAAGCGUGGGUAGCGAACGGGAUUAGAUACCCCGGUAGUCCACGCCGU
rnacentral:rRNA from 1 species